CCUGAACGCUGGCGGCGUGGCUAAGACAUGCAAGUCGCACGGAGGUAGCAAUACCUUAGUGGCGAACGGGUGAGUAAUGAAUCGCUAAUGUGCCCCGGACUCUGGGAUAGCUGCCCGAAAGGGCAGGUAAUACCAGAUGAUAUAACCGAACCGCAUGGUUUGGUUCUCAAAGGUCCGCCGGUCUGGGAGCAGGCGAUUUCGUAUCAGCUAGUUGGUGAGGUAACGGCUCACCAAGGCGACGACGCGUAGCCGGACUGAGAGGUUGGCCGGCCACAUUGGGACUGAGACACUGCCCAGACUCCUACGGGGGGCUGCAGUAACGAAUCUUCCGCAAUGCACGAAAGUGUGACGGAGCGACGCCGCGUGUAGGACGAAGCCCCUUGGGGUGUAAACUACUGUCGAGGGGAAAGAAAGUUCUGAUCUACCCCAGAGGAAGGGACGGCUAACUCUGUGCC
rnacentral:rRNA from 1 species